GCACUUUCCUCCUCAGGUGCACAAGCACCACCGAAGUAGAGUGUCUCUCUCCAUUGCACUGUAGCACCAUCACCAAAUAACAGCAUGAAGCGCCAAAGAGUUUGUGCACCACGUAUCCCAACUCUGAAGGAUGUCCAUCACGGCACCAGAUGGAGUUUAUGCCUCCGAGUAUACCACAAGUUUCAUGUUGAGAGAAUUGGACAUGGUAGGAAGAGGGUCAACUUUGUUCUGUUGGAUGCAGAGGGCACAAAGAUGGCUGCCACCAUAUAUGAUGACCAAGUUGAUUGUUUAGAUCCAUUACUUAAAGAAGGCAUAGCCUAUUAUGUGUCGAUGAUGUCUGUUGAACCAAUUUCAAGUACGCAGCGAUGAAUGUUUGUUGAUAAUCCUUAUGAAUGUCGUUUCACUUCCGUCACUCAAGUGUUUGAGAUGAGAAACAUGGGUGAAGGGACUAUCCCUUUCUUUCCUCCCUUCCUUCCAUGUGAUCGAAUUUUCCCAUCCACUCUUUAUAAUGACAUCUAUGUCGAUGUCAUUGGAAUGGUUUUGUAUGUAAGCUCAGUGGCCUUUGCGGAUGGCAUCUAUAAUAGGCGAAUCCCAUUUAGGAAUCUUCUUCUGAUGGAUGACAAGUUUAAUUUUGUGAACGUACGUGUGAAGGACAAAAUGGAAAGUGGACACACUCGUGCUUGGGCAAGAAGUGCUGAGGAGCGUACAAUUGUUAUUGUUACCAUGCUGAGAGUAAAGCAUGUUGUAAG